GCCAGGCGCAGUGGUGCAUACCUGUAGUCCCAGCUACUUGGGAGGCUGAGGUGGGAGGAUUGCUUGAGCGGAGGAGUUCUGGGCUGUAGUGCGCUAUGCCGAUUGGGUGUCUGCACUAUGUUCGGCAUCCAUAUGGUGACCUCCCAGGAGCCGGGCACCACCAGGUUGCCUAAGGAGGGGUGAACUGGUCCAGGUCGGAAACGUAACAGAUCAAAACUCCCGUGCUGAUCGGUAGUGGGAUGACACCUGUGAGGUGUAGCAAGACCCUAUCCCCCCACAAAAAAAAUAGA
rnacentral:SRP_RNA from 1 species